UACGAAGGGGGCUAGCGUUGUUCGGAAUCACUGGGCGUAAAGCGCACGUAGGCGGAUUGUUAAGUCGGGGGUGAAAUCCUGAGGCUCAACCUCAGAACUGCCUUCGAUACUGGCAAUCUCGAGUCCGGAAGAGGUUGGUGGAACAGCUAGUGUAGAGGUGAAAUUCGUAGAUAUUCGCAAGAACACCAGUGGCGAAGGCGGCUUACUGGUCCGGAUCUGACGCUGAGGCGCGAAAGCGUGGGGAGCAAACAGG
rnacentral:rRNA from 1 species